rnacentral:rRNA from 1 species
UGGGGAAUAUUGGACAAUGGGCGAAAGCCUGAUCCAGCCAUGCCGCGUGUGUGAAGAAGGUCUUCGGAUUGUAAAGCACUUUAAGUUGGGAGGAAGGGCAGUAAGAGAAUACCUUGCUGUUUUGACGUUACCGACAGAAUAAGCACCGGCUAACUCUGUGCCAGCAGCCGCGGUAAUACAGAGGGUGCAAGCGUUAAUCGGAAUUACUGGGCGUAAAGCGCGCGUAGGUGGUUCGUUAAGUUGAAUGUGAAAGCCCCGGGCUCAACCUGGGAACUGCAUCCAAAACUGGCGAGCUAGAGUAGGGCAGAGGGUGGUGGAAUUUCCUGUGUAGCGGUGAAAUGCGUAGAUAUAGGAAGGAACACCAGUGGCGAAGGCGACCACCUGGGCUCAUACUGACACUGAGGUGCGAAAGCGUGGGGAGCAAACAGG